rnacentral:piRNA from 1 species
UAGGGUCUUUCAGAACCUUCUUUUAAAGUGU